UGCAUCCUUAAAUCCAUGCUAUUUUAUGUUGUGAAAGUCUUUGUUAUUUUGGCCAUCCUAAUGAAGGUUAAUGAGCAUUCUUCUAUCCUUUGGUUUCAGGGGGCAUCGAAAAAUCUCAAUCUCAUGGAAUGGGAUAAACUCUGGACCAUUAAUAAGAAGAUUAUUGAUCCUGUCUGUCCCAGACAUACUGCUGUUAUUGAUGAAAAACGUGUGUUAGUAACCUUAGCUGAUGGUCCUGAGAAACCAUUUGUCCGCAUCAUACCAAGGCAUAAGAAAUUUGAAGGCGCUGGAGAAAAGUGUACCACAUACACAAAGAGGAUAUGGAUUGACUAUGCUGAUGCAGUGUCCAUCUCAGAAAAUGAGGAAAUAACCUUAAUGGAUUGGGGGAAUGCCAUCAUAAAAGAAAUCAGGAAGGAUCAGGAUGGGAAUAUUACGCAGUUAAUAGGGGUUUUGCAUCUCGAAGGAUCUGUCAAGGCCACAAAAUUGAAGCUUACCUGGCUACCUGAAACAAGCGAAUUGGUUAACCUUUCAUUGAUGGAGUUUGACUAUCUAAUCACAAAGAAGAAGGUAUGUGCUAGUUAACUGGUGAAAAGAUCAUUUGCAUUUAUAAGUUAUUUUUGUUGUUUAAAAUAAUAGAUUCCUCUAGUGCCAAAUUUUUAGAUUGAUAUAAAUUCAUGAUUGCCGAACUGCAUAAGCCAUGCUUUAUCUUGACACUUACCUUAAAAACAGAAGGGGAAAAAGUAAAAACUCAUUUCACUAUUUUAAAACCUUGCUCUUCUAUUCUAUAUUCUUUCUUUCAUUAUGACUAAGAGCACCCACUUAAAGGCUUAUUACCUACAGACUAUUAAAUGCAGAGGUGUCUGAUUCCUGCACCAUCAUGUGGGAGAUGUUAAAUCCCCUACCUUCAUGGAUAUUAUUAAUGUGAUUUUGUGAAUGUCCUGCAAGGAAAACAUAUAGUUAUAUCAUGUUUUUCUUUGUAUAUGUCAAAAAUCCAUAAAGGAGUUGUCCCAAUUAUCAAGCCAAAUAUAUCAGAGCUAAUUUAAAUAUGUAUGUAAUAUAUGCACUUGAGCAGCAGUGCAUUGUAAAUCAUAGACUAAUAGCUUUAUGAUUGUUCAGGCAACAAAUAGGAAUCAUACAUAUUCUGCACACUGUUUUGAAAUUGGACUUGUUUGUGAGUGUUGAAACUAGUUUUGGAUACUACUUGUAGAAUGGUGUCAUCUCAGCUGUUGUUUGACAGGCUGGUUGUUCCUAGAGAGACUUAUUUUACAUCUUUAUAGCAGUGUGGCUUAUUGAUUUCCCAUGAUGUGCUGUAUUAUUGGUUAUUUGCUGAAAAUUUAAUGAUUGUAAAGUUUGAUUUGUGGGUUGCGUUUUAACUGUUGGAAAUGCAGCUGGAUGAAGGAGAUGAUUUCCUUGAUGCGCUUAACCCGUGUACCAAAAGAGAGACUGCAGCAGUUGGGGAUUCUAACAUACGGAAUUUAAAGCGCGGUGAGAUAGUGCAGCUGGAGAGGAAGGGCUAUUAUAGGUGCGAUGCUCCCUUCAUUAGACCUUCAAAACCAGUAGUUCUAUUUGCAAUCCCAGAUGGCAGGCAGCAAAAAUAAGAACUUUACACCAAAGGAGUUUUCCACCCAUAUCCCAAGAAUUUUGGAACUUACAUUAGAGACUACGUUGAUUCAGUGAUUGUAUGAAAUGAGAAAAGGAAGGUUCCUACGCUUACUUUUGUUUUAGAUAUGGGAACUGAUGGAGAUUGUUGCUUUGAUGGUUUUAUUGAUUCGUCUUUCUGAGGAUGAACAACCUUAUAAAUUACUGUGGCAAUUCUAAUAUUAUGGAGUUUUAUUUUGUCAUAAUGAGGCAAAUUUUGACAUGUAUUGGAAAGAUGUUGGGAAUCCAUACUCCACUAUUGUUGUUUCUUUCGCGUUGAUGAGGUGAGGACCAAAAUGUAGACCCCUAUCUCAUAAAAUCACCUUACACACUUUCCAAAUUAUUGUGAAAUAUUUAGAUUCUUCGUCUUAUUAACAGUGUAAAUAUGGAUACCUGCAAAAGAAAAUGAAAGAAAAAUAUUAAGUUAAUUGAUAGUAUAAAAGGUUGAAGAGAGAAACAUGACUGCAUAAGAUUUAUGGUGGAUAUAAGCCUUGAAAAUCAGAAAAUGUAUAGGAAGCUGCCAGCCUGCGACUGGGGACUCUGAUAGUGGACAGAAACAUGGUACAGCAAUAAUGGUGAAGCUUUAAUUUGUAAUAUCUGGUUUGAAGCCUAGGCGGCACAUGAGGUAAACAUUGUACCUAAACUAUGGAAACUAAUAUUUGAUUGAUCAACCCUUUUAAGGAUGGUUCUAUCGUCAUAAUUUUUUUAAUUUUUUUUUAAAUUUUCUUUUACUUCACCCAUCAACUUUGGCUCCUUGACUACUGUCAGAUCAGCCUUGCAACUUUAAUUAAAGAAUGAGUAGGGCCAUGCUUGCUUGCUUGCUGUCACGGGGAAAAAGAAAAGAGGAGGAAAACCACAAAGGAAGGGAUUCCAAUAGCUGUAAUGUCAAAUGUAGGAAGCCUUUACGACUACUUCAUAUUUUAUUAAUUGGCAUUAGUAAUGUUACCCAAUAAUUUGACAUGUUCCACCAAACAUGUUAGAGGUCACCUUGCCAUUUCAUUGUUCAUUCCUUUUCUCUCAUGGGUGUUCUCAAGCUGCAUGUUAUCUUUGUUGUGCUGUGGGCCUGUGGCUCAAAUUAGAAAAAAAGAACAAAUAUUUACAAGAUUACUAUCACGGCUUCUCUUUGUAAAGAAACCAUUUCAGUCCAAAAUAAUUUGAUAAAAAUGCCUAAGGAGAUGGUUUUAGGAGAAAACCAUCACAUUAUUUUUUUAAAUGAAAAUAUGUAACAAGUUUAAAACAAAAAAAAAUUAAAAAAUGAAAUAUUUAUUUCCCUUAGUUUAUUAUUUUAUUCUUAGUAAAAAAAUAAUAAUGAUAAAGCAUUAAAAAAAACAUAUUAUUAAUUUUAAAUGGAUUGAGUUAUUUUUAAAUAAAUUUUCAAAUGAAAAAACUUACUUUUAUUUGAAUUUUUAAAUUAACUUUAAAAAUUAAAUUGUUUAUUAUCUUUUAGAUUAUAAAAGUAAAUUAAUUUUCAUUUUUUAAAACAAUUAAUUAAUUAAAUUAAAUUAAAAGAUAAAAUAGUAAUUAUUUUUAUACAUCACUUCCAUCUCCACCGACAAGAAUUCUAACUUAAUUUGAAUCUUGAAAAAGAGGAUGUACAUGAUAAAUAUAAUAUAUUCAUAAUUAUUUUUAUAAUAUAAAUUUGUUAUAUAAAAUUAAUUCUAUAUUUCAAAUAAUUUUAUUCUUCUAAAAACAUAUUUACCAAACCAUUCAAAUUUUACUAUUAAAAAUAAAAUUUUGAAGAUAACGCAACUUUAAGAGGAUUUUGGGUUAAGAAAUGUUCUUAUUCUUCCUAUGGUUGCUUUGUUGUGUGAGGUGUGAGGUGUGAGAGUAACUCGAAACUACCAUAUUUCACAAAUGACUUUUCUAAACUGUGCAGUCUGUGCUGCAAAGCCCUAGUAAUUGUGAUUGAACGACUCAAGUUGUGAGGGACACUUCCUUUUGUGGAGUUAUGGGUCCAUACUCACAUCAAGUAAUAGAGAGCGCAGUUCAGUCAUCUGUGCCAUGAUCACGGCAAAAACAGAGUAAACCCACGACCACAGAUGAAAUGUGUUUGGUGGGAUUAGAUAGGGGCUUUCAAAGCCCACCCACCAACUCACACCCCCUUUUUUUAUCUUUUAAGUCUUGAGACUGAAGAAUCGUGAAUACUCAAAAUGAGAUUAAAGAGUGAGGAAGAAGGCCGGUUAGGUUGUGAUGUCCAACGAAUGGCGGUAAACAUGACAAGGUUUUUAUUUCUGGUACUCACGAAUCGAAAAAAAAAAAAAAACAAGAGAGAAGAAAAUUUCCAAGCAGCGGAUGUCAAAGAAAUGUCAUCAUAAAUUCACAGUAGAGCAGCAAUCAAAGUUUAUUCUACUUCUUUGGGGCGAGUCUGGACUUGAUUUUCUCAACCUCCUUAGUACCCACCUGGAAAGCCUUGGUCAACACAUUGUUAGGCACGGGUGGUGAGGCAGCAAACAAGCUCACCGCAAUAGACUGGGUUCCAGGCAACUGGCUGUUAAAAGCAGAUAUGACGGCAGCAGGGACUUCGCCGUUGUUCUUCUGGAAGUGGACCAACCCCUUUGGGAACACAAAGAUCUCCCCUUUCUUAAUGGACUUGGAAAUGAGAGUGUUGGAGGUGGUGAUGAACCCCACAUCCAACUCGCCUUCAAGCACGAACACCAUCUCUGUAGCACGAGGGUGAGUGUGGGGUGGGUUGAGACCACCUGGUGCGUAGUCGAUGCGGGAGAGAGAGACGCCAAGGGUGUUGAGACCAGGAAUCUUCUGCACAUUAGCACCUGUUACCAGAGACCCCAUGGAGUUGUUGGUCAGACCCGGUUUCGCCAGGCCGUCGAAGAAGAAAUCCGUUGCAGUUAUGUUUGUCGCGUCCUUACAGCUGAACCCAUUCACCUUUACACCUGAUCCACCAUCCAACAAGUAAAAUUGUCUGAUCAUUUUCCGCACCAGUUCGAUUAAGAAUGAAAAACCAAUGAAUGGCGGCGGGAUUGAAGCAAUCGAAGAUUAAUCAAUCCAUCAAUCAAAGCUAGUCUCAAUAAUUCAUUCCAUGGGAGAAACCCAAAUCUAAAACUAAAACCCCCCAAGAAGAAAUUAUUAUUAAAAUAAAAAUGAAAGACAGACAGAGCACUCAUUAUUAUUAGUAUUACUUAGGAGAAAAAGUAUGGUGGAGUUCUCCCAUUUUGAGCUUCUCCUGCCUUCAUCCUAGAAAAAAUGGAACUUGAGCGUUGACUCUCCCAAAUACAGAAGAAGAAUAAUGGGGGGAAGGGAGGAAACUGAGUACCAGAAGUGAGAUCGGCAACACAGACGUCCUGAAGCAUGUCCGGAUCUGCAGCAACGGUGCCGGAGAAGACAGCGAGUGUGAUGACAAACAAGGCCACAACAGCCGCCAUGGUCGGAGAAACAAAAAAAAUACAAAGAUAAUAAUGAUAUGAAAAAGAGAAGAAAGGGGAAAAAGUAGAUGGAUAUCUCAAAUUAGAAUGGGGAGAGAGAAAAAGUGGGGUUGUGUAUUUAUAAUGAUGAGUUAAGUAUGAGCUUGAGGGAAUGAUAUUUAUUUGUGUGUUGGGACUUGGGAAAGACGAGAGGUGGUGACGUUGAUUUGGUGGAGACUGCGCAACUAAAAAAGCACGAAACAUGCCUUCUUCCACCCAAAGUAAAGGCAUCAGAAGGCCCUUUACUCUGCCUUUGUUAUGCCCAUUUGACUCCCCAUUUCUCAUCGUGCCGUCCACGGGAUCUGACCCAUUUGGCUGUGCGUAGUCCUCCAAGAAGCAGCGUUGCACUGCCCUUUCAACCACCGAAAGCUUUAACCUUUGCUCAUAAUAUUAUUAUUUUAUCGAUUAAUACAAGUUCAUUCAUUGUUUUACCAAUGUAAUUUACAGGUGUGCCAAGUUAAAUUUCAUGUUGGGUGCCUUCUGCCUUGGGGCCCAUGGCCUUGCUUUGUUUCCUGAAAUAUGUCAUGCUCUAAGUUAUCUAAGCUGUAAGUGGGCUCUCAAUUAUGCUGUUUUCAAUUGAAGUGGGUAGCUCUUUGGGCGUCAAAUUGUGAGUUGUAUUAGCAUUUUAGCGGAUUCUUUUAGGAUGCUGCUACUUCUGUAGGAGUUGUCAUCCUCGUUCAUAAGGUGGUGCAUGAUAUUUUGAAUUUCCUUUCUAAUAUCCUUUAACUGAAAAUUUUGAGUAUCAAAUCUUCUUAUGUUUGUUAUUAAAUUGCUUUAUAUUUGUAGAGAGAACUCUGCAUUUUUGUCUUCCAUUUUCUUGGAAGGGGGAAGAGAAAGAUUUAUCUAGUUGUUUCAAUGUCAAAUUAUGAGCUUUAGGUGAAUUUUAACCGUUAGCAUUUUGAUGGGAGUUGUCGUGAUUAUCCUUUAGUAUUUCAAAUGUCUAUAAAUUUGCCUUCAAUGCAAACCUGGAAUUAGACUAAAUGGCUUGUGGAUGAGCUCUGCAUUUUUGUCUUUCUAUUGGAAGAUAAUGGGCGGAGUUGAAUAUGGAGAAUACUUAUGAAAUCGCCUUGAAUGCAAGGGAUGAGGUCGCUGUUUCGUGGAGUUUGGGCCUUGGUAGGCUGUUUGCAAAGUCAAGUCUCAAGAAGGAAAAUUCAACCAAAGCCUACGGUUUCUAAGUGGGCCUCAUACCCCUUCCUGCUUAUUUUUCCUUCCAAGUUCAUUGCUUUGCCUAUUUCUCCUUUCUGUGAAUGCCAGUUGCUUUCUUCUCCAUAAUAUCUCUUAUUGUUAACGGUUGUGCUUUCUUGCAAUGCUGCAAGGCUUGCAGCUAGUCAAUUCUUGGAUGCGGUUGAUUUGUAUUAUUUUGUGGUUUUCCAAAUUCCAAGGUGUCAUACAAAGGUUCUACUUAGAUGACUUUACAAGAGCAGUCAGCAGUCACCCAUUUGGUAUGAGCCAUGCACCCUCCUUAAAUUGGGCUUUUGGUGCACCGACUCCAAAGACAAAACUACGGGAAGAUUUCUGAAUUUUGGGUCGAAUGGGCACUUCGAAGUUUUACCCAACAAAAUUUUCAUUUUAAUCAUGUUUUCAUAUUACUGUCCAAAGUAGUCCUCCUUUUUUUUUUCUCUUUUUAAAUUAUUAGAAAUCAUAUUUUGAAAGUUUUUUUUUUAAAUAAAUAAAUAAAAGAUAAAAUAUGAGAGAGAGUUCUUUUUAUACAAAAUUUCAAAAUAUACUUUAAAUAGAUCUUUUGUUUGUUCUAAAUGGUCAUUUUGAACCAAAAUUAAGUUUUGUCGUGGAGCGGACGGUGGAUAUCUAGACAUGUGUGCUUAAAUAUAAUAUUCAUCGUAGUUCUUAAUUCUUACACAUUAUUGACAUUGACUUUAGUUAUUUUGAGACUUCUUAUGGGUUGUGUGAGUGGGUGCUUAAUUAAAAUGGAUCGAGUAAAAGAUUACCAUUAAACUAUUCCAAUAAAUCUUCUGCUUCUGUAAUUCUAUAAUAUAUAUCGUUCUUUUUUAUAAAAACUUUAGAAAAAAAUGGGUUUUGAUCCAUUGAUAUAAAAAAAAAAAACUCAAAAAUUUUAAAUUAGUAUUAUUUAUAUUUAAUUAAAAAUAUUUUAAAAUACAUUUAUAUUUUAAUGAGUCAUUUAAUCAAUCCCAAAAUGUUACAUUAUUUAUUUAAAAAACUUUUUUUUUUUUUCAUAUUUCUUUACUCUUCAAUAUUCUUUAAUACCUUUUUAUAAAAAAAUAAAAAAUUAAUUUAUUUACUAAAGCCCUAUUGCAAUCAUUUCCUGAUCUUUGAUUCUAGUUGGAAUUGUGACAAUAUUGAAUCCAGAUUAAAGUAGAGAAGCACUAACAUGAAAAAGUAAAAAACAAAAAACAUGAGAGAAUAUGCGGUUCACCUCCUGUGAAUAUGCUACAUUCACAGGAUGACAUUGAAAGCUUUACUAGUAAUAGAUCACAACAUGGAUUUAUCCAUAAUCCACCAAGACAGGAUCCAAGAAAAACCCAGUUCACCACAAUUUUUUUUUUCUUGAUAAGUCAGUUCACCACAAAUUUCCUUCUCCUAACUUUAAAUGAAGCUGCAUUAAGAGCUGUGUACUUAGCUCUUAUUAUAAUUGUCUACUCCCUCCUUCGACUUUGGGUACAGCUUCUAUUUCAACAAAGUUGCCUGAAGAAAUCCUCACAAAAUAGGAUUUCUCCAAGUAUGAAUUUCAGACAAUUUUGUAAGACACCACCAUAUUCGGUUUUCGUCUUCCUUUUAGUUGUCCAAAUAACAUAUUUGCAGCAUUGCUUUUAUGAUUGAUGAAUCCUUAAGAUAUAAAAUGGGGAAAAUUUCAGAUUUAUUACAUCUGAAAACAUUAGAUCCAUGCUAUUUUAUGUUGUGAAAGUCUUCGUUAUUUUGGCCUUCGUACUGAAGGUUAAUAAGCAUUCUUCUAUCCUUUGGUUUCAGGGGGCAUCGAAAAAUCUCAAUCUCAUGGAAUGGGACAAACUCUGGACCAUUAAUAAGAAGAUUAUUGACCUGUGUGUCCCAGACAUACUGCUUUUAUUGAAGAAAAACGUGUGUUAGUAACCUUAGCUGAUGGUCCUGAGAAACCAUUGGCCCGCAACAUACCAAGGCAUAAGAAAUAUGAAGGUGGUGGAGAAAAGUGGAUAUGGAUUGACUAUGCUGAUGCAGUGUCCAUCUCAGAAAAUGAGGAAAUAACCUUAAUGGAUUGGGGGAAUGCCAU
rnacentral:lncRNA from 1 species